rnacentral:tmRNA from 1 species
GGGGAUGUUCCGGUUUUGACAGAAAGCAUGAUUGGAACAGGUUGCGGGUACGGGUGCUGUUCCCGUUCAAAACAAGCAAUUCAAUAAGUGCAAAUAACACUGUUGACGCCAGAGCUGCAUUUGCUAGAAAUGCAUACGCAGUAGCUGCCUAAGCGCAGUUGGCCUCUUAUAUUUCCCAGCUUGCCGGAGGUAUAGGACAAUUAUGCAAGACGCAGUGCAUUUAUGACGGUAGAUGCAUCAAGAUUUCCGUUGAAAGUUAGCCAUACUGCAACAAUGGCUUUGGAAUACAGAUGGUAGCGAUUUUUCCGAUGUAUUUUGAGAUUAAUUAAAAUCUACACUCGUAGAGAUUUGUUCAGAUCCUUUUUGGACGUGGGUUCGACUCCCACCAUCUCCAAAA